CGAGCACCAGAAUGAAAGCGGGUAGAAAUAGGUGGAACGCUUUGUGCCAUUGUUUUCCUUCUUGUCUUGCUUGUUUCGACUCGAUUUUCUCUGUUACCUUCGUUGUUAUCAUGCUGGGUGGACGGAGGUUGCUGUCCGAAGAGGAACGGGCAUGAUCGAACGAGUCCCGGGCGACACAACAGUCCGUUUGACUACCUGAAGUCGAAUUCAAAUGACUUAUUGUUAAUAAUGAUCGUCUGUUCGGUUCGACUCGGCUGACUCUGCAGCUUUUCGCGAUUCCAAGCGAAUUAGUAUCAGCCACAAACUGGUUGCUUUUCCAAGCAACUUUCCCAUUCGGCUGUUUUCCCAUCGUGUCCUACGUUGUUUCACAACAAAACAUUAAACGAUGUAAUAUGCAAUCUUAAGUUAGAGUCAGACAAAAUUAAACAUUAAAAAUAUCGAA